GUAGUACUCCCUCCGUCCCAAAAUUCUUGUCUUAGAUUUGUGUAGAUACGGAUGAAUCUAAUACUAAAACGUGACUUGAUACAUCUGUAUGUAGACAAAUCUAAGGCAAGAAUUUUGGGACGGAGGGAGUAUUAU
rnacentral:pre_miRNA from 1 species